rnacentral:lncRNA from 1 species
GAACCUCUGAGCCGGCCGGUUUGUGGGGGACUCCCUGCCCAGCUAGUUGCACACGAAUCCCCAGUCCGGCAAAGGAGCCCCUCCUGUCCUCCCUCCGCCCUGUCACCCUUGAGGGGUGCAGAAUUUCUGCCUGUUCCCUGUUUGAACGAGGUCUCUGAGUACGCCUGAGCCAAGUACUUCACAGGCAUGAUCUCACUCGAGCCUGCCAGCAGCAAUGUGGUCUCAGACUACAGGCGAGGAAACUGAGGUCAACGGCGUGGGAGCAACUUGCCCAGCUGGAGACACAGAAAAGUACAAGAAGAAAACUAAAAAGGUGACCCCGAGAGAACCAUUCUAAGAUGUCCAUGGGAAUUCAGCUCAGCUCAUGUAUUUAUAUUGAGAUCCUACUGUUGUCUGCUUUUUCAUUUUUCAUGAAAAUAAAACUUGACUCAAAGUUUCAUUUAAAAAU